rnacentral:rRNA from 1 species
AAGCCAUGCAUGCCCGCGCACCCGGGAGGCGGCGGACGGCUCAGGACAACGGUUGCACCCCCCGCGGCGGUCCCUGCUAGCCGGACACCGCUGGCAACCCGGCGCCAAGACGUGCGCGCAAGGGCGGGCGCCCGCGGGCGAGCAGCGUGACGCAGCGACGGCCCGCCCGGGCUUCCGGGGCAUCACCCGGUCGGCGCGGUCGCGGCGCGCCGAGGGCCCGACG